CCGCAAUGGGCGAAAGCCUGACGGAGCAAUACCGCGUGAGGGAGGAAGGCUCUUGGGUUGUAAACCUCUUUUCUCAGGGAAGAAGAAAGUGACGGUACCUGAGGAAUAAGCAUCGGCUAACUCCGUGCCAGCAGCCGCGGUAAUACGGAGGAUGCAAGCGUUAUCCGGAAUGAUUGGGCGUAAAGGGUCCGCAGGUGGCAUUGUAAGUCUGCUGUUAAAGAGUUUGGCUCAACCAAAUAAAAGCAGUGGAAACUACAAAGCUAGAGUGUGGUCGGGGCAGAGGGAAUUCCUGGUGUAGCGGUGAAAUGCGUAGAUAUCAGGAAGAACAUCGGUGGCGAAGGCGCUCUGCUAGGCCAAGACUGACACUGAGGGACGAAAGCUAGGGGAGCGAAUGGGAUUAGAUACCCCAGUAGUCCUAGCCGUAAACGAUGGAUACUAGGCGUAGCUCGUAUCGACCCGAGCUGUGCCGUAGCUAACGCGUUAAGUAUCCCGCCUGGGGAGUACGCAGGCAACUGUGAAACUCAAAGGAAUUGACGGGGGCCCGCACAAGCGGUGGAGUAUGUGGUUUAAUUCGAUGCAACGCGAAGAACCUUACCAAGGCUUGACAUGUCACGAAUUCUAUUGAAAGAUGGAAGUGCCUUCGGGAACGUGAA
rnacentral:rRNA from 1 species